AUUGAACGCUGGCGGCAGGCUUAACGCAUGCAAGUCGAGCGGAGCGAGGGUGCUUGCACCUUAGCUUAGCGGCGGACGGGUGAGUAAUGCUUAGGAAUCUGCCUAUUAGUGGGGGACAACAUUCCGAAAGGAAUGCUAAUACCGCAUACGACCUACGGGGGAAAGCAGGGGAUCUUCAGACCUUGCGCUAAGAGAUGAGCCUAAGUCGGAUUAGCUAGUCGGUGGGGUAAAGGGCUACCAAGGCGACGAUCUGUAGCGGGUCUGAGAGGAUGAGCCGCCACACUGGGACUGAGACACGGCCCAGACUCCUACGGGAGGCAGCAGUGGGGAAUAUUGGACAAUGGGCGGAAGCCUGAUCCAGCCAUGCCGCGUGUGUGAAGAAGGCCUUUUGGUUGUAAAGCACUUUAAGCGAGGAGGAGGCUACUUAGAUUAAUACUCUGGGAUAGUGGACGUUACUCGCAGAAUAAGCACCGGCUAACUCUGUGCCAGCCGCCGCGGUAA
rnacentral:rRNA from 1 species